GAUUUGGAAAGGCACCAGUCAGGUCUAUACAGGAGGGGGAUUGGAAAGGCACCAGUCAGGUCUAUACAGGAGGGGGAUUGGAAAGGCACCAGUCAGGUCUAUACAGGAGGGGGAUUUGGAAAGGCACCAGUCAGGUCUAUACAGGAGGGGAUUUGGAAAGGCACCAGUCAGGUCUAUACAGGAGGGGGAUUGGAAAGGCACCAGUCAGGUCUAUACAGGAGGGGGAUUGGAAAGGCACCAGUCAGGUCUAUACAGGAGGGGGAUUUGGAAAGGCACCAGUCAGGUCUAUACAGGAGGGGGAUUGGAAAGGCACCAGUCAGGUCUGUCUAUACAGGAGGGGGAUUUGGAAAGGCACCAGUCAGGUCUAUACAGGAGGGGGAUUGGAAAGGCACCAGUCAGGUCUAUACAGGAGGGGGAUUUGGAAGGGCACCAGUCAGGUCUGUCUAUACAGGAGGGGGAUUUGGAAAGGCACCAGUCAGGUCUGUCUAUACAGGAGGGGGAUUUGGAAAGGCACCAGUCAGGUCUGUCUAUACAGGAGGGGGAUUUGGAAAGGCACCAGUCAGGUCUGUCUAUACAGGAGGGGGAUUUGGAAGGGCACCAGUCAGGUCUGUCUAUACAGGAGGGGGAUUUGGAAAGGCACCAGUCAGGUCUAUACAGGAGGGGGAUUUGGAAAGGCUAGCUAGCUGACAAGCGUUUGUGUUCAGAGUUCCAGAAUUGAUCAAUCCAAAGUGAAAUGUCCCAAACUAGCAUUGAAAAGGUGAAUCCAUUCUUCUGUAAUGAAACGUCUCUCUUCCUGUUUUCUAAAUAACUCUUGUAAAGUCAGU